ACAUAAUAGAAAAAAAUUUCCGCACUUGUUUACAAAAAGUGCACCCCCUAAUGGUAUUCUUACAAUUUUUGCAAAUGUUAGGGGCAUUUCCUAAUAGUUGCAUUAUAGAAAAAUUACCAUACCAUAGGCAUAUAUUAAUUCCUGCUUUUUUGUUUGGUUGGUAUAUAAAUCAAUAGAUGAUAAGGACCAAAACAAAGAAAGAAAAGGAGGCUCAAAGCUUGAAAACAAAGGAGAGAGAGCAUUAGGAGAGAAAGGGCUG
rnacentral:lncRNA from 1 species